GCGUCAUUGGUCCAACAGUCAGGAUGCCUCUCUUCCAAAGAGGCGACCCCGGGGCAGCACCGGGAUGACGCACCA
rnacentral:tRNA from 1 species